rnacentral:rRNA from 1 species
UACGGAGGAUGCGAGCGUUAUCCGGAUUUAUUGGGUUCAAAGGGUGCGUAGGCGGAUCGUUAAGUCAGUGGUCAAAUUGAGGGGCUCAACCCCUUCCCGCCAUUGAAACUGGCGAUCUUGAGUGGAAGAGAAGUAUGCGGAAUGCGUGGUGUAGCGGUGAAAUGCAUAGAUAUCACGCAGAACCCCGAUUGCGAAGGCAGCAUGCCGGCUUCCUACUGACGCUGAAGCACGAAAGCGUGGGGAUCGAACAGG